rnacentral:rRNA from 1 species
UACGUAGGGUGCAAGCGUUGUCCGGAAUUAUUGGGCGUAAAGAGCUCGUAGGCGGCUUGUCGCGUCCGCUGUGAAAACUCGGGGCUUAACCCCGAGCCUGCAGUGGAUACGGGCAGACUAGAGGUAGGUAGGGGAGAAUGGAAUUCCCGGUGUAGCGGUGAAAUGCGCAGAUAUCGGGAGGAACACCGGUGGCGAAGGCGGUUCUCUGGGCCUUACCUGACGCUGAGGAGCGAAAGCGUGGGGAGCGAACAGG